UUAAGUCAGGCAACAAGCGAGACCCACGCCCACAGUUGCCAGCGUACUCUCUGGAGUGACGGGUACACUGUGGGGACCGCCGCUGCUAAAGCGGAGGAAGGAAUGGGCAACGGUAGGUCAGUAUGCCCCGAAUGUCCCGGGCUACACGCGGGCUACAAUGGUUGGUACAAUGGGUAUCUACCCCGAAAGGGGAUGGAAAUCUCCUAAAGCCAAUCUUAGUUCGGAUCGAGGGCUGCAACUCGCCCUCGUGAAGCUGGAAUCUGUAGUAAUCGCGUUUCAAUAGAACGCGGUGAAUACGUCCCUGCUCCUUGCACA
rnacentral:rRNA from 1 species